UACGUAGGGUGCGAGCGUUGUCCGGAAUUAUUGGGCGUAAAGGGCUCGUAGGCGGUUUGUCGCGUCGGGUGUGAAAACCCAGGGCUUAACCCUGGGCUGGCUUCCGAUACGGGCAGGCUAGAGGGAUGCAGGGGAGAACGGAAUUCCUGGUGUAGCGGUGAAAUGCGCAGAUAUCAGGAGGAACACCGGUGGCGAAGGCGGUUCUCUGGGCAUUACCUGACGCUGAGGAGCGAAAGUGUGGGGAGCGAACAGG
rnacentral:rRNA from 1 species